CCUACGGGCGGCAGCAGUGGGGAAUAUUGGGCAAUGGGCGCAAGCCUGACCCAGCAACGCCGCGUGAAGGAAGAAGGCUUUCGGGUUGUAAACUUCUUUUAUCAGGGACGAAGCAAGUGACGGUACCUGAUGAAUAAGCCACGGCUAACUACGUGCCAGCAGCCGCGGUAAUACGUAGGUGGCAAGAGUUAUCCGGAUUUAUGGGGUUAAAGGGUUUCACGGGCGGUCUGUUAAGUCAGCGGUCAAAGCCCGGGGCUCACCCCCGGCCCGCCGUUGAAACUGGCAGUCUCGAGUUGGAGAGAAGUAUGCGGAAUGCGCGGUGUAGCGGUGAAAUGCAUAGAUAUCGCGCAGAACUCCGAUUGCGAAGGCAGCAUGCCGGCUCCACACUGACGCUGAGGCACGAAAGCGUGGGUAUCGAACAGGAUUAGAUACCCGAGUAGUC
rnacentral:rRNA from 1 species